UGCUCUUGGUGUCCCGGAGUUGUCCUGCGCCGGUGUUCCCACGUGCGGCCUGAACCUGAGCGCAUAAUGUUAUGAGGAGAUGGGAGCACUAGUGAUUCGCGGUAUCAGGAAUUUCAACCUAGAGAACCGAGCGGAACGGGAAAUCAGCAAGAUGAAGCCCUCUGUCGCUCCCAGACACCCCUCUACCAACAGCCUCCUGCGAGAGCAGAUUAGUCGUGAGUGGUGCGAGGGCGUUUCGGGGCCCGGGGGCGCGGAGUCCCUGUGCUGCCCGGCUGUCCCUAGCGUGGGUCCGGAGGCCGAGGGAUCGGCGUCAGCCUGCUCGGCCGCAGCCGCUCGGGUUGGCGGAGCGUUGGAAGGGGGAGCCGCCAGGCCGGUGACAUUGAGACUGUCCUCCGCGCCCGCGGUGAGGUCGGCGGCCCCGCCUACUUCCGAGACCCAGAGGCAGCGGCCAGUGCUCCCGCUAACCAGGCCCUCGCCGGCUGCUGUCACGGACUUGAUACAGGGAAUCAAAAUCCGAGAGGGUCACAGAGCUUUCUCUAGGGGUCUUCACUGGACGAUGGACGCAGAGCCUGACCUGGAAUUUUGAUUUCCAUCUAAAUCUAUCCAGAAGUUAAAGGAGAGAUUGCUUGUAAAGAUGAAAAGCUGCUGUCGUUUCUAAAAGAUGUGUAUGUUGAUUCCAAAGAUCCUGUGUCUUCCUUGCAGGUAAAAGCUGCUGAAACAUGUCAAGAGCCGAAGGAAUUCAGAUUGCCAAAAGACCAUCACUUUGAUAUGAUAAAUAUUAAGAGCAUUCCCAAAGGCAAAAUUUCCAUUGUAGAAGCAUUGACACUUCUCAAUAAUCAUAAGCUUUUUCCAGAAACCUGGACUGCUGAGAAAAUAAUGCAAGAAUACCAGUUAGAACAGAAAGAUGUGAAUUCUCUUCUUAAAUAUUUUGUUACUUUUGAAGUCGAAAUCUUCCCUCCUGAAGACAAGAAAGCAAUACGAUCAAAAUGAAGAAAAUCACAGAAAUUUCCUAUGUGUACUCCUCAUCCCUCCUGCUGUAUAUUUUCUCAUUUUUUGCGUAAUAAAUUAUGUUAAUUACCAAAUA